CCACAGGAUCAAGAUCCCACACAGACGGAAGAAAUACUUCAUUGUUAUGCAAAGUGUGUUUUAUCCAGAUGAUCGGAUCAAUGCCAGGUACGACAUUAAGGGCUGUGAGGUGAGUCGAUG